rnacentral:rRNA from 1 species
UACGAAGGGGCUAGCGUUGCUCGGAUUUACUGGGCGUAAAGGGCGCGUAGGCGGCACAGCAAGUCGGGAGUGAAAGCCCGGGGCUCAACCCCGGAAUGGCUUUCGAAACUGCUGAGCUAGAGUACAGAAGGGGCAACCGGAAUUCCCAGUGGUAGCGGUGAAAUGCGUAGAUAUCGAGAGGAACACCUGCGGCGAAGCGGGUUGCUGGGCUGACACUGACGCUGAGGCGCGAAGCUAGGGGAGCAAACGGG